UACAGAGGGUGCAAGCGUUAAUCGGAAUUACUGGGCGUAAAGCGUGCGUAGACGGUUAUGUAAGUCAGGUGUGAAAGCCCCGGGCUCAACCUGGGAAUGCCAUUUGAGACUGCAUAGCUAGGGUACGGAAGAGGGAAGCGGAAUUUCAGGUGUAGCGGUGAAAUGCGUAGAUAUCUGAAGGAACACCAGUGGCGAAAGCGGCUUCCUGGUCCAGUACCGACGUCAGGCACGAAAGCGUGGGGAGCAAACAGGA
rnacentral:rRNA from 1 species